UACGUAGGGUGCAAGCGUUGUCCGGAAUUAUUGGGCGUAAAGGGCUCGUAGGCGGUCCAUCACGUCGGGAGUGAAAAGCUGGGGCUUAACCCCAGUCCUGCUUCCGAUACGGGUGGACUAGAGGUAGGCAGGGGAGAACGGAAUUCCCGGUGUAGCGGUGAAAUGCGUAGAGAUCCGGAGGAACACCAAAGGCGAAGGCAGUGUCCUGGGGAGUACCUGACGCUCAGGUGCGAAAGCCAGGGGAGCGAACGGG
rnacentral:rRNA from 1 species